UAAUUAUUAACAAGAGCCAGGCAGCCUGAAAUGCAGCAUACGCGGACUAAAACGAGCCCUGCUGCCUCCAGCUUUUGAGAGGGAGGAGGAUGAGGUUUGGAAAGAUGCCCUCCAGUGGAAGCAUUUCCUUGGGCCAGUGCUGAAAAGGACCCCUGAGCAGGUCCCACAGUCUGUGCUGCUUCUGUGCUGACCGCAGCGGGAGGCCGAGUGCAGCCAGGCCCCGCCAGCCAGGCAUUCUGUGGACCAGGUGAGGGCUGCCAGGUGUGGCUGGGGUGGCAUUUACUCUGUGGCCAUCCUGCCUCUGCUCGGAGACGAGGCAGCUCCGGGAGCAUCGUAAACCCAGCUGAGGCUGAACCAAGAUAGCAGUCCUCAUCCUCCAUCCCCUGUCACUGGACAUCCUGUAUUCAAUCACCCACAUAUUCAUUUCUUUUAAUCAUUCUCUUCUUGACUGUGAUAAAGUCAUUUUUAUAGCUCCGAGAACGUGCGUUUCAUUUGAAUUAAGUGUGCUGGAGUCAAUCGGUUUUGUGGGAGAAUCAGGCUG
rnacentral:lncRNA from 1 species